rnacentral:rRNA from 1 species
UCGGCAACGGAUAUCUCGGCUCUCGCAUCGAUGAAGAACGUAGCGAAAUGCGAUACUUGGUGUGAAUUGCAGAAUCCCGUGAACCAUCGAGUUUUUGAACGCAAGUUGCGCCCGAAGCCACUUGGUUGAGGGCACGUCUGCCUGGGCGUCUCGUACACACAUCAUAUCACAAACCAUUCCCAAAUUUUUGGUGCAUGAGUUAGUGGUGAGAUGAUAUUGGUCUCCCGUGCUGUAGUG